GUUCUUUGCCAGAUAGUCGCUCCGCCUAAAUGCGUAAGCUUUGGGCGAGAGAGGAAAGUCCGAACACCGUCCCGCUAAGCGGGACAGAGGCAAUGGCUAACAGUCAUGACUCGCAAAAGAGAUUUUGCGGGUACGGAUAGUGUCACAGAGACCAUACCGCGACAUCAUCAAUUUUGGCCUAAAACCAAAAAGGUUGAUACGUAAGGGUGAAAAGAGGUGAGGUAAAAGCUCACAGCGUACGUUGGCAACAGCGUGCGGUGAAAAACACCUGCCCGGUGCAACCUCGUAAUAGGGGGCUAGAGUCCUCGACGUAAGUCGGGACCCAGACAGAUGACUAUCGGCUUGCGCAGCAACCAGCCGCCAGCUGUUAGCUGGAAGCAGGAAGCUGCGUUAGUUACAGAAUUCGGCUUAUAGACGGAGAACAUGA
rnacentral:RNase_P_RNA from 9 species